rnacentral:rRNA from 1 species
UACCAGCACCCCGAGUGGUCGGGACGUUUGUUGGGCCUAAAGCAUCCGUAGCCGGUUCUACAAGUCUUCCGUUAAAUCCACCUGCUUAACAGAUGGGCUGCGGAAGAUACUAUGGAGCUAGGAGGCGGGAGAGGCAAGCGGUACUCGAUGGGUAGGGGUAAAAUCCGUUGAUCCAUUGAAGACCACCAGUGGCGAAGGCGGCUUGCCAGAACGCGCUCGACGGUGAGGGAUGAAAGCUGGGGGAGCAAACCGG